UUUCCAUCUGUUUGAGUUGCAGAAAAACAAAUGAUGUCAGACUUUGACCUCAGUCUGUUGAAACCCAGGACGACCACUGGUCCCUCCGGCAGAACGACCCCAGCAGGAACAUGAGCCGCUUUGUGACUCUCUCAACGGGGCAGAAGAUGCCCACGGUCGGACUCGGCACAUGGAAGAGUGCCCCGGGACAGGUGAAGCAGUCGGUGCUGGCUGCUUUAGACUGUGGCUACAGACACAUCGACUGUGCUGCUGCGUACAGCAAUGAGCUGGAGGUCGGAGAGGCUCUGGCUCUGAGGGUCGGACCUGGGAAGGCUCUGCUUCGUGAGGAGCUGUUUGUGACGUCCAAACUGUGGAACACCAAGCACGACCCACAGGAUGUGGAAGAAGCCUGCAGGACCAGUCUAGCCCACCUGGGUCUCUCCUACCUGGACCUGUACCUGGUGCACUGGCCCAUGGCAUUUCAGCCAGGGAACGAGCUGAUGCCUCGACGGGACGAUGGGAGCAUCUGUUACUCGGACACACACUACAGAGACACGUGGGCGGCCAUGGAGAGUCUGGUGGACAAAGGUUGGGUCCGGGCAAUAGGGCUGUCCAACUUCAAUGCCAGGCAGACUGAUGACAUCAUCAAAGUGGCCAGACACAAACCUGUGAUGAACCAGGUGGAAUGUCAUCCUUACUUGUCCCAAGCUGAUCUCCUGUCACACUGUCGGUCGGUGUCGGUGUGUGUGACAGCCUACAGUCCCCUGGGCAGCGGGGACAGACCCUGGGCCUCCCCCGACCAGCCAAGUCUGCUGGAGGAUCCUCGACUGGCAGCCAUCGCCCAGAGAUACCAGAAGACACCUGCCCAGGUCAUUCUCAGGUGGCACGUUCAGAGAGGUGUGGUGUGCAUCCCCAAAAGUGUGACGCCCUCCAGGAUCCAGCAGAACUUGCAGGUGUUUGAUUUUUCCCUGACGGACCUCGACAUGAAGCUGAUUGAAUCCUUCAACCGAAACGAGCGCUUCAUCGUCCCAACAGUCGAGGUGAGUCCCUGAUGUUGUAUCGCCUCAGAAUAUUUCUAAACUUGUGUAUAUUCAUCCUUAACUGACAUCUCAGGCACAUACGAUUGUUUUUAACGGAACAUGUUGAUACAUCAGACUGGAAUCCCUGAUGUCGGGAUGGUAAGAGUGUGUGGAGAGAUGCAGAACAUCCUCAUUUCCCCUUCCAUGAUUCCUACUGAGUUUAUCCCCACCAACUACAAUACUGUUGAUCAUUGGUUCAUACGCUAUUUAUUUUUUUAAUUAAAAUGUAAUUUCCCUCUUUAAGAUCAACAAUUUAUUGACUUAAUUUUGCAGUAACAUUGUUUGUUACAUGAUUUCAAGCCAAUUCUUUCAAUUCUUUAAAUUGCAAUGAACAAUAAAGUGAUUAUUCCAACACA